UAGUCUAGUAGAGACUAUUCUACUAUUUCUGUAAUCAGUAGAGAGAUGUGAAAUAUCUCUUGGAAAUGCCUAUUUUUCUUUAUUCACUGUAAAGGGAACCGAUUCAACUAGCUUAGAUUAAAUGCCUUACUUUUAGAAACCUAAAAUUAAACAUUUUAAGCCAUUUUACUACAAAGGUAGCAGCAGCCAUUAAAGAGAAGUGUGCUUUAGAGAACAUAAAAUAAACUACUAAUGGUCACACUUCUAAACCUGAGCCAACAACCUUGAAAAACAAACAUGCAGGUUGAAUAACAAAUUUUGCUAUUAAAAAAAGUAAAGAGAAACUUAAGCUUAAACUUUUCUCCUAGUUUUCUUAGUAACAAAGCAAUCUAAGCAGUGUUUUCCAUUUCUUCACUCUCAGAAGGAAAAAAAAAAAAAAAAGAGAGAGAGAGAGAAAAGAUAAAUUGGAGCAAAUGAGGAGACUUCUAGUGUAUUUUAUUUUGUAUACAAGCAAAGACAAAUUCAAUAUUGAUAAAAAUUCAGAGAGCUUUAUUAAACCUAUCUGUAUUAAGCCUAGCCUAGAAUUAUAACUACAAGAGAAACCUAAAGUAGGCAACUUUGGAUAGCAGGCUGUAGGAACUGCACACUGCUGUCUUGAAUUUAUAUGCUGCAGCAGUCUUGACGCAGAAGCUAGGUAGGUGGUCCAAGUACGACUCCUGCAGAUUUACUGGAUGUCACCCAUAUCUGCACUGUUUUCUCCCAGCUGAGUUUGACCUAGGACACUUACUGCUUUCAAUCUUCAUGCCAGAGAAAAGGAAAGUAAACUAAAUACAUACAUUAAGAAAGAGAUGUAGUACAAUACAAGUUAAAAAAAAAGAAUCCGGAAAAUCAGGAAAACAUUAUCAUUUCUCUCAUCUUUUGCUAAGAGACAAGAGAAAUGAGAGGCAGAUGUGUUUCUACCUGAGCAGGGGAAUGAGGCUGGUAAAGCCUGCUAUUGGGAGGGAAAAUUAACUCUGUGGAGAAUAGGCCAAACCAGAUACACAGAGAAACGUGCAAACUUUUUCUUUCCCUUUCUCCUUCCCCCCAUGUGCCUACCUGACUACAUAUCACCGUGGCUUCUCUCCAGCUGCAGCAGAAAGGCACAGGAACAAGGGACUCCUGAACAUGCCUGCACCUCCUGCUGUCUGUGAGGAAUGCUCUCAUCUCAGAAGCAAUUCAGCUUGGAUAGCCAACGAGUUUUGAGUUUAAGCAAAAAAAAAAAAACAACAAACAUGCAUGCAGGACAUCAGAAAGAUGCAGAAAAACUUAAAUAGAAACCCUCAAAAUAUUUCUAUUUGCAUGUAAGUAACCUUUGGUAACAAAAUAAAAUAGGAGAGAAAAUAUGGAAAAUAUAUACA
rnacentral:lncRNA from 1 species